ensembl:lncRNA
CCUGCGCUCCCGCACCCCGCGCUCUGCGCGGUCCCGCCGUCUCCAGCCGCUCCGAGAAGUCAGCCGGCGUCACCCAGGAGCGCCCGUCCCGAUGGAUUCGUACGAACGGAACUCGAUGUCUUGCUGUGCAGGCUGGAAAGAAGCGAUAGAGGCCAAUUAAAAAAGAAAAAAAAAAAACACAACGCGAGUGUUGCAUUGAAGUUCCUCUGCAACAGUUCGUAUAUUUCUAUCCUCUCCCUUCCCCCAAAGUCCGAGAGCAGAGCAAAGUGAACGCUCACAACACCGAGGGACAGAGGCUGCUCCCGGCUCUGUCUCUUCAGGACGUGUCCUCUCUAUCCACCCUCCUCCUUCAACACUUUCCAGCACCGCUUUAUCCACUGACAGCUGUGUGUUUGGGGAUGAGGACUAUCUCUCACAUAGCACAAAGGGAUUACUGCAAUACAAGUCCCACCAUUGCAGAGAAUUCUUGUUGUUUUCCAAUCAGCUUUUAGUUAAUGUACUACACGCACCUGUUAUUUUUUCUUUUGCCCUUUUAAAACUGAUAUUUUAUAUAAAACUCCCGAACUCCAGAGGAACUGGCAGCGCUUCACAAACCACAACCUGAGUCUUUCCAAGCGGUGAGAACUCCAAUCUCAAUCCAGAAGAACAGUCGAGCACAGGCCCAGCUCCAAGCACCUGCAUCUAUGGGCUUGACAGCUCCUGUCCUUCCCCAGAGAGACACAAAGAGCAUGCUUCGCUACAACAGAGGCCAGGAAAGAGCUAAAAGCUCUGCAUGAAAGAGGCCAGGAAAACCAAGGAGAGUAGAAAGAUACGGUUUUAUUAUCAUUUGAAAGAGUCCUAUUGUAAAGUGAGCGCGACUCAGCUUUCCUAGAAGGGCUGAACUGCAUUGGCUCUGACUGUGGAGCCUACAAAGUGAGAACGGAGCAAAUAUGAGAGCUGCCUGCCGAGCUACCAUCACAAAGAAGACUUAAGCAUAAUGGCAAAUAAGCUAUAAACAGCAGAAGAUUACAAGUCUGCCUAUCGGAAAGGGAGGACCUGGAAGAGCCUUUCUGUGGGAACACUGGAGACAAAACCAAACCAACCGGACCUUGCUAUGUGUUACAUGAUGUGAUGCACGAAACAGCAGAGGAAUGAAUCUGGUGACUCAGCCCUAUUUCAGUCACACAAUGGGAUUUUGGCCUCACUACUACAGAGAGCUACAGACGACAGAAUCUUUCUGGAGCAGAAGAUAAGAGCUCAAGUUCAUAGAAUCUCAGAAUCCUUGGAGUUGGGAGGAAUCUUUGAAGGUCAG